rnacentral:rRNA from 1 species
AGAAUCAACGCUGGCGGCGUGCCUAACACAUGCAAGUCGAACGAGAAAGUGGAGCAAUCCAUGAGUAAAGUGGCGCACGGGUGAGUAACACGUGACUAACCUACCCUCGAGUGGGGAAUAACCUAGGGAAACCUGGGCUAAUACCGCAUAAUACCUACGGGUCAAAGGAGCAAUUCGCUUGAGCGAGGGGGUCGCGGCCGAUUAGUUAGUUGGCGGGGUAAUGGCCCACCAAGACGAUGAUCGGUAUCCGGCCUGAGAGGGCGGACGGACACACUGGAACUGAAACACGGUCCAGACUCCUACGGGAGGCAGCAGUGGGGAAUUUGCGCAAUGGGGGAAACCCUGACGCAGCAACGCCGCGUGGAGGAUGAAGUCCCUUGGGACGUAAACUCCUUUCGAUCGGGACGAUUAUGACGGUACCGGAAGAAGAAGCCCCGGCUAACUUCGUGCCAGCAGCCGC